rnacentral:rRNA from 1 species
CUAAGAAUAUUCCGCAAUGGACGAAAGUCUGACGGAGCGACGCCGCGUGGAUGAUGAAGGCCGAAAGGUUGUAAAGUCCUUUUGUCGACGAAGAAUAAGUGGGGGAGGGAAUGCCCUCAUGAUGACGUUAGUCGGCGAAUAAGCCCCGGCUAAUUACGUG